rnacentral:rRNA from 1 species
GACGAACGCUGGCGGCGUGCUUAACACAUGCAAGUCGAACGGAAAGGCCCUGCUUUUGUGGGGUGCUCGAGUGGCGAACGGGUGAGUAACACGUGAGUAACCUGCCCUUGACUUUGGGAUAACUUCAGGAAACUGGGGCUAAUACCGGAUAGGAGCUCCUGCUGCAUGGUGGGGGUUGGAAAGUUUCGGCGGUUGGGGAUGGACUCGCGGCUUAUCAGCUUGUUGGUGGGGUAGGGGCUUACCAAGGCUUUGACGGGUAGCCGGCCUGGGAGGGUGGCCGGCCACAUGGGGACUGCGAUACGGCCCAGACUCGUACGGGAGGCAGCAGUGGGGAAUAUUGCACAAUGGGCGGAAGCCUGAUGCAGCAACGCCGCGUGCGUGAUGACGUCCUUCGGGUUGUAAACCGCUUUCGCCUGUGACGAAGCGUGAGUGACGGUAAUGGGUAAAGAAGCACCGGCUAACUACGUG